GAGCGGGACACUUCGGUGUUCAGCGGCGGACGGGUGAGUAACACGUGGGUAACCUGCCUGAUAGACCGGGAUAACGCUUGGAAACGAGUGCUAAUACCGGAUAGGCUCUUGAAGCGCAUGCUUUAAGAGGGAAAGAGGCUAUCGCCUCACUGUCAGAUGGACCCGCGGCGCAUUAGCUAGUUGGUGAGGUAACGGCUCACCAAGGCGACGAUGCGUAGCCGACCUGAGAGGGUGACCGGCCACACUGGGACUGAGACACGGCCCAGACUCCUACGGGAGGCAGCAGUAGGGAAUCUUCGGCAAUGGACGAAAGUCUGACCGAGCAACGCCGCGUGAGCGAUGAAGGUCUUCGGAUCGUAAAGCUCUGUUGUCAGAGAAGAACAAGUGGCAGAGGAGAUGCUGUCACCUUGACGGUAUCUGACCAGAAAGCCCCGGCUAACUACGUGCCAGCAGCCGCGGUAAU
rnacentral:rRNA from 1 species